ensembl:lncRNA
UUUGAAACCACAUUUUCAAACUUUAAUUAAACAGUAAUAUUUGUGAUUCAGAGUAGACUCUUCAAAGUAAAGUAAGCUGCCAGAGUCCCAUCACACAUAGUAAUGUAAAGCCCCUCUGUUCAGCAUUAGAUCUCUUUAAAGCAGGUUGUCUACAGCCAUACUGUAUCACAGAUCACUGCUGAGUCUUAAGUCAUUGUCAUUUUUUGUGCCUUUUAAUUUACAGUUUAUUAAAAUAAUAAAGACUGCAGUGUUUCUAUAGCAUGGAACUAUGAGCAUGUAAAAACAGAUGGGAUGUUUGAAGGUGGAAAGUGCUGGGGAAGAAGAGAAGGCUCUGGUAAGCAGCCUGCUGGGAGCAGUCUCUGGAAUGAAGUAUGCCUGCAACAGUGCACAAGUUAAACUCAGAAGGAACUAGUUGAUUGAAUCCAAAAGCAAAUCUAGGAUUGAACCAGUUAUUUUCUCACCUAGAGAGCAGCAGGUGGGAAAGAACAUUGGGGAUCCUGAUAAUUAUCAAGCAUGCCAUGCUCUCUGCAGGACUAGAUUCGUAACUGUGCUUAAACUCUCACAGUGAGAGUUGUUGUAUGUGACACUGAAGACAUGUGGUGUAAGGAUGAUGCAUUUUAUUCACAAUCACUGAAAAUGAAUGAAAAUAAAUGGUCAGCUCCUGCCCCAGGUCACCAGUUGUCCUCUGCAGUGUUUGAUACAUUGUGUGCUGCAUGACUUACUUAUAAUUAACCUCAAAAAAGGAAUAAAGCAACAAAAUUUCCCAACGAUAAAAUUAGUGAUGGUAGCAAGAUUACUAGCAAACUGCGAUGAACUGGAGAAACACAUGGAAGAUUGAUUAGGAAAAAGUGGCAGAUGCAAUUCAGCACAAACAAAUAAAUUAUACACGUAGAUAUAAAUAAUCAUAGUUUCCACAUGAAAAAAUAACCUCUGAGCUUCUCAGUCUACUAAAGAGUAGUAGGAACCAUAGAUAAUGCCAUGAAAACAGCUCAACAUUCAGAUCAACUUAAAAAGCAAGUCAAAUAUUAGGAAGGAAUAAAGAAAAGAAAGUAAUCAAGCAGACUAGUACUUAGCUGCAUGGCUGAAGUGUGUAGUGUUGGUUCCCUUUUCAGAAAAUAAUAUAUGACAGGCAGAAAAGUUUCAAAGGACAGUAAAUACAGAAGCUACUCCACAUGUUUGGUCACUCAAAUACUAAAGCAUUUCAGUUUAGAUGAUGAAAUUUAAAGGUGACUUAGGUAUCUGCAGAAACAUGGCAUGAUAGAUAAAGGUUUACAGUUCAAAGGACAUUAAACUAGUGAAAAAUAGGCUCAAAAUGAACAAGAAGUGGCAAUUUUUUAUGCAACAGACAUUAAUUGAGAAAGGCUGCUGUUACUCAGGAAGCAUAUAAUGUUCAGGAAAGCCUGGAAUAGAAGACAUUCAGAAGCCAGAAGAACACAGAAGAGAAGCAACCAAACAUGCUUGCAUUGUUCUAAUCCUUCCUAAGGCAGCUGCCUUUGACUACCAAAAGAAGCUAUUGUGUUAGAAGAAACAACUUUUGUCAGGACCUGUAUAGCCAGUCCUAUGUUUAUCUUCUCUAGAAUUCCAAGAGCAUGUAAUUAAGGAUCACAGAGGAAAAGCACGUACUGCUUGCUCCGCUUCUUGGUUAAAUGCAGUAAAAGGUGAUGUGUGUUACAAAUGCAGCCAAGACUUCUCAGUCAUCACUGCCAAGCCUCAGCACUCAUGUUCACAUAGUGGGGAUGCUAUUAAAGUGAUAGACUUACCCUGCACUCCCAGUAUUUCCAGUACGAAGCUUCCUAUGAGAGAUAUUUUUUUUUUAUUUCUCACCAGGAAGAAGAAAAAAAUACUUAAUGCAUUUGUUAUGGAUGGUACCCUGAACCAAAAGCAGUCAGUAGUUCUCUUACACCACCUUAAGAAGCAACAUGUUCUCCCUUUACUACAUUAAGUAACCAAUGUUACAAUUUAGCUACACUUAAUAAUGAAAAUACUGCACUUUUAAUUUUAUAGACAUCAAAUUGGGGUUUUGAAUGUCAAAGACAUGCCCUUCUUCUGUAAUUCUGCAGGACAAAUGGUCUGCCAGAAAAUGCCUAAAUGCAUAAAAGCUGUAAGCUUACCAACGGUAAAAUGGUAAAUGCACUUUACUGGACAGUUCAAGAAUUAGAUAUAAUUUUAUAAAUUAUGUAUAAAUUAUCAUUGCAGUUGCAAGGUAGUUUUAAGCACUUCAAGGACACUGAACCCAAACCAAAAUCAAGCUACCAAGUUAGUAAAAAACCUGGAAAUACAUAAAACUAAUCAAAAGAGUGACAUUCAAGGGAAGUCAUCCGACUUCCUGUAUUACCCAAAGAUUUGGCUACAGAGGAAAAGGAAACACAGCAGCAGAAACAUAUAUUCUAAUUGAGUUUCAUUAUUAUUUUGGGUACAUUCGCUAUAGUUCACAGAAAAUUUUCAGAGUUCAAGUUACACAAGGGAAAUCUCAUAGACUGAGAUUGACUCCUGAGACCAGCAAGAAUGCUCCCCAAGUCUUUUCUCAUUUUUGACAUGUAGCACUGAGUCUAGAGAAAAUUAAGUAAGAGAGCUAACUGCUCAUUUGUGCUGAUCUGACCUGGACUUUUCAGGGUAUUUUACUGAAUUUCCAGAUUUCCAAAGAUAAAUUUAAUUGUUGAUAUCUUUUCAUACAGUCAAUAUCCAGGCUAUGAACAUUUAAAGUGCUUUGUAAAUUGCUGCUGUGAGUGUGCAAAAUGAAACCACUUAAAAAUUCCCCAGUUUGGUUAUUUACAGCAUCUUCCUGGAAUGCUUUGGCCAGGCUAACUGGAAAUAAAGGCAAGUGAUUCAGUGCAAUAUAAAUAUUUUUCUAUUCUCUUUGUCAGCAAUAUGAAGUAUUUUGUUUCCUUUAUUGUUUUUUGCAGAGCUAUGAUCCAGAGUGUUUAUGAUGUAAACUCUUCAAGUAAAACUAACUUUUUAUCUCUGCACAAAUAUAACUUUUGGCUUAACUGAGAUUCCAGGUUCAUUUCCAAAUGUGCUUUGCCCUGUUAACUCUGCAGGUUACUUUAGGUCCCAUUAGUGCUACACUUUGAAAACAGCAUAACAAAAAAAAAA